CCUACGGGAGGCAGCAGUGGGGAAUAUUGCACACUGGGGGAAACCCUGAUGCAGCGACGCCGCGUGAGUGAAGAAGUAAUUCGUUAUGUAAAGCUCUAUCAGCAGGGAAGCAAAUGCCGGUACCUGUGCAAGAAGCCCCGGUUCACUACGGGCCAGCCGCCGCUGGAAUACGUAGGGGGCCAGCGGUAUUCGGGUUUACUGGGGGUAAAGGGGGCUUAGACGGGUGUGCAAGUUCGGAGGGAAAGGCGUGGGGUCAACCCCCGGACUGCUGUGGAAACUGUACGGCUGGAGUGCAGGAGAGGUAAGCGGAAUGCCUGGUGUAGCGGUGAAAUGCGUAGAUAUUAGGAGGAACACCAGUGGCGAAGGCGGCUUACUGGACUGUAACUGACGUUGAGGCUCGAAAGCGUGGGGAGCGAACAGGAUUAGAUACCCCAGUAGUC
rnacentral:rRNA from 1 species